rnacentral:lncRNA from 1 species
GAAGUCCCGGACCAACUACGACUGUGGCCGCCCCGCCGUCUCCGCUUUUCGGCUUUCUCACACAGCUAACGACCCGUUACCCACCGUCCGCCUCCAAAUGCUACUCUAUUCAUCCCAGCCCACCUCGAGGGCGGGGCCUCCCCAGAGACGCAUUUUCAUUGGACCGACGGAACCGCCUGCGCAGACGCUGCCCUCCAAUUGGACACAGGACUGUGGAAGGGAAUGAGACCUGCGUUGUCCCUAGAGCUGCGCAGCCAUUGGCUGAGGAAGAGACGAUGGGGAGUCAUCUCGCGCAUGCGCACGCUUCGGUACUCUUGCACGGGGCAGUAAUGCUCUAGGGUGGUGUUCCGGGGCCGUGAGUCGAUACUUUGCCUUUAGUUUGGGGCUUACCGGUGCCUCUGGGCUAGUACCGCUGUCCACUCCUGUUCAGUUGCGGCGGUAGUAGCGGCGGGAGUUCCGAGGUCCGGGGGCCCGCCUGGUUCUCCCGGUGGACUUCCAGGCUCCGUAGCAGCAACUCUGAGCUGCUUCUCCACAGGUUAGAGACGGCCCUCCUGGGCCCCCGAGGCCCUGGUGACCUUGGCAGGUUGGGCCUCCGGCUCUUCACCUUUGCAGCCCCCGGCCUUUUCCUUCCGCCAGAGCUUAGCAUUUUCCUUUAAUGGAGGUCUCUCAUCCUGCUGCGCCUCUAACUGGCUGUAUUACCUUGUGCAGGUCUCUUGCCUUCCCUGAACCACAGCUCCCCUCUGGGUCAAAUGAGGUUGGUCUCUAUGAUUACUCCAAGUUCCCUCCCAGCUGUGGUUCUACGAACCUGUGCUCCCAUCCUCUUCUGUCACUGGAGCCUCCAUACUUAAAUGGAGUUGGGAGCACCAGCAGCAAUAACUUGGCUGUGUUUUCAGAACUGUAGAAUAAAGAAAACUACAGAUACUACUAGCCUGUCAGACACAAGUAGAAGAUUACAGAUCCUGAUCACCAGGUUGGGAGUGCCCAGAGCCUUGACCUCGAUGUGGUCAGCUCCAGCCUUUGCUAACAUCCUUACUCUCCUGUGCCUGGAGGAAGACUGGGUAGCCCUCUUGGUCUUCUUGGCGAGUAACAUGGAGCAUCCCUGUCCCCUGGGACCCAGUGCAGACUAUGGCUGUGCAGCUGGAUGCCCUGGUUGGUGCCUACACAGUGACAGGCAAUCCUGAUUGCCAAGUUCCUGAAGACAGCAGGGACCUUCUUCACUUUUUUUUUUUGGGUAAGGCAAUUGGGGUUAAGUGACUUGCCCGGGGUCACACAGCUAGUAAGUGUCAAGUGUCUGAGGUUACAUUUGAACUCAGGUCCUCCACUGCCACCUAGCUGCCCCUGUCUUGGUUCUAUCUGUAUCCUCAGGGCUUAGCUCAAUGUUUUGCAUACAGUCAGUGCUUAAUAAAUACCUUUUCAUUCA